UACGGAGGAUGCAAGCGUUAUCCGGAAUGAUUGGGCGUAAAGCGUCCGCAGGUGGCAUUGUAAGUCUGCUGUUAAAGAGUGAGGCUUAACCUCAUAAAAGCAGUGGAAACUACAAAGCUAGAGUGCGUUCGGGGCAGAAGGAAUUCCUGGUGUAGCGGUGAAAUGCGUAGAGAUCAGGAAGAACACCGGUGGCGAAGGCGUUCUGCUAGGCCGCAACUGACACUGAGGGACGAAAGCUAGGGGAGCGAAUGGG
rnacentral:rRNA from 1 species